rnacentral:rRNA from 1 species
AUUGAACGCUGGCGGCAGGCUUAACACAUGCAAGUCGAGCGGAGAGAGGUAGCUUGCUACUGAUCUUAGCGGCGGACGGGUGAGUAAUGCUUAGGAAUCUGCCUAUUAGUGGGGGACAACAUUUCGAAAGGAAUGCUAAUACCGCAUACGUCCUACGGGAGAAAGCAGGGGAUCUUCGGACCUUGCGCUAUAGAUGAGCCUAAGUCGGAUUAGCUAGUUAGUGGGGUAAAGGCCUACCAAGGCGACGAUCUGUAGCGGGUCUGAGAGGAUGAUCCGCCACACUGGGACUGAGACACGGCCCAGACUCCUACGGGAGGCAGCAGUGGGGAAUAUUGGACAAUGGGCGGAAGCCUGAUCCAGCCAUGCCGCGUGUGUGAAGAAGGCCUUAUGGUUGUAAAGCACUUUAAGCGAGGAGGAGGCUACUUUAGUUAAUACCUAGAGAUAGUGGACGUUACUCGCAGAAUAAGCACCGGCUAACUCUGUGCCAGCAGCCGCCGUAAUAC